rnacentral:rRNA from 1 species
CUGAUCCUACGGGGCGCAGCAGUAGGGAAUCUUCCACAAUGGGCGAAAGCCUGAUGGAGCAACGCCGCGUGGGUGAAGAAGGUCUUCGGAUCGUAAAACCCUGUUGUUAGAGAAGAAAGUGCGUGAGAGUAACUGUUCACGUUUCGGCGGUAUCUAACCAGAAAGCCAUGGCUAACUACGUGCCAGCAGCCGCGGUAAUACGUAGGUGGCAAGCGUUACCCGGAUUUAUUGGGCGUAAAGGGAACGCAGGCGGUCUUUUAAGUCUGAUGUGAAAGCCUUCGGCUUAACCGGAGUAGUGCAUUGGG